rnacentral:rRNA from 1 species
GAGUUUGAUCCUGGCUCAGAGCGAACGCUGGCGGCAGGCCUAACACAUGCAAGUCGAACGGCUCUUCGGAGCAGUGGCGGACGGGUGAGUAACGCGUGGGAACGUGCCCUUUGGUUCGGAACAACACAGGGAAACUUGUGCUAAUACCGGAUGAGCCCUUUUGGGGAAAGAUUUAUCGCCAUUGGAGCGGCCCGCGUUGGAUUAGGUAGUUGGUGGGGUAAAGGCCUACCAAGCCUACGAUCCAUAGCUGGUCUGAGAGGAUGAUCAGCCACACUGGGACUGAGACACGGCCCAGACUCCUACGGGAGGCAGCAGUGGGGAAUCUUGCGCAAUGGGCGAAAGCCUGACGCAGCCAUGCCGCGUGUAUGAUGAAGGUCUUAGGAUUGUAAAAUACUUUCACCGGGGAAGAUAAUGACGGUACCCGGAGAAGAAGCCCCGGCUAACUUCGUGCCAGCAGCCGCGGUA